AAAGAUACAGAUACAGUUCACAGAUAAUGAAACUGAUCACAUCUGAUCACUGAUCACAUCUCUGUACACAGCACUCAUAUCAAUGCAAAGAGGAUCAUCAGACCCCUGGAAGCUCCCCUCUGCUCUCCCUGUCUGUCACUACUCACAGAGUAAACGCAGCUAUGACCUCUGCCAGCACACGUUGUUAUUGUCUGUUUGGUAUUUAAUGUAAAGAUAAUAAUAGAGCAUUUAAAGUCAAAUUUCUAUUUGACUUUUUUCAUUUAAGUGGAGAAUUUAUGAUUGCAUGUUGUCGUGGCCCAUCCACUGGCAAAUUGCUGUAUAGAAUUCCAUUUUAGAAAUAUCAAACUAUCAUUCCAUUAUGACCAAGAGUGGAUCAAGAGAAACAGGAUUUAAGAAUGAGUUUUCUGAAUUGGUUCUUGGGUUUCUAGAAAUGGCUUUAUAAUUUGAUUAGAUUUUAAAAUCCAAAAGAAGGGUGCUGGGUGGCUCAGUUGGUUAAGCAUCUGCCUUUAGCUCAUGUUGUGAUC